rnacentral:rRNA from 1 species
GACGAACGCUGGCGGCGUGCUUAACACAUGCAAGUCGAACGGAAAGGCCCUGCUUUUGUGGGGUGCUCGAGUGGCGAACGGGUGAGUAACACGUGAGUAACCUGCCCUUGACUUUGGGAUAACUUCAGGAAACUGGGGCUAAUACCGGAUAGGAGCUCCUGCUGCAUGGUGGGGGUUGGAAAGAUUCGGCGGUUGGGGAUGGACUCGCGGCUUAUCAGCUUGUUGGUGGGGUAGUGGCUUACCAAGGCUUUGACGGGUAGCCGGCCUGAGAGGGUGACCGGCCACAUUGGGACUGAGAUACGGCCCAGACUCCUACGGGAGGCAGCAGUGGGGAAUAUUGCACAAUGGGCGGAAGCCUGAUGCAGCAACGCCGCGUGCGGGAUGACGGCCUUCGGGUUGUAAACCGCUUUAGCCUGUGACGAAGCGUGAGUGACGGUAAUGGGUAAAGAAGCACCGGCUAACUACGUG